rnacentral:rRNA from 1 species
CAGCCGCCACGGUAACACGUAGGGUGCGAGCGUUAAUCGGAAUUACUGGGCGUAAAGCGUGCGCAGGCGGUUCGUUAAGACAGAUGUGAAAUCCCCGGGCUUAACCUGGGAACUGCAUUUGUGACUGACGGGCUAGAGUAUGGCAGAGGGGGGUAGAAUUCCACGUGUAGCAGUGAAAUGCGUAGAGAUGUGGAGGAAUACCGAUGGCGAAGGCAGCCCCCUGGGCCAAUACUGACGCUCAUGCACGAAAGCGUGGGGAGCAAACAGGAUUAGAUACCCCGGUAGUCCCUGUCUCUUAUAC